GCGAACGGGUGAGUAACACGUGGGUGAUCUGCCCUGCACUCUGGGAUAAGCCUGGGAAACUGGGUCUAAUACUGGAUAUGACCUCAGCAUGCAUGUGCUGGGGUGGAAAGCUUUUGUGGUGCAGGAUGGGCCCGCGGCCUAUCAGCUUGUUGGUGGGGUAAUGGCCUACCAAGGCGACGACGGGUAGCCGACCUGAGAGGGUGACCGGCCACACUGGGACUGAGACACGGCCCAGACUCCUACGGGAGGCAGCAGUGGGGAAUAUUGCACAAUGGGCGGAAGCCUGAUGCAGCGACGCCGCGUGAGGGAUGAAGGCCUUCGGGUUGUAAACCUCUUUCAGCAGGGACGAAGCGUGAGUGACGGUACCUGCAGAAGAAGCACCGGCUAACUACGUGCCAGCAGCCGCGGUAAUACGUAGGGUGCGAGCGUUGUCCGGAAUUACUGGGCGUAAAGAGUUCGUAGGCGGUUUGUCGCGUCGUUUGUGAAAACCCGGGGCUCAACUUCGGGCUUGCAGGCGAUACGGGCAGACUUGAGUGUUUCAGGGGAGACUGGAAUUCCUGGUGUAGCGGUGAAAUGCGCAGAUAUCAGGAGGAACACCGGUGGCGAAGGCGGGUCUCUGGGAAACAACUGACGCUGAGGAA
rnacentral:rRNA from 1 species